CCUACGGGAGGCAGCAGUGGGGAAUUUUGGACAAUGGGCGCAAGCCUGAUCCAGCCAUGCCGCGUGCGGGAAGAAGGCCUUCGGGUUGUAAACCGCUUUUGUCAGGGAAGAAAUCUUCUGAGUUAAUACCUCGGGAGGAUGACGGUACCUGAAGAAUAAGCACCGGCUAACUACGUGCCAGCAGCCGCGGUAAUACGUAGGGUGCGAGCGUUAAUCGGAAUUACUGGGCGUAAAGCGUGCGCAGGCGGUCUUGCAAGACAGGUGUGAAAUCCCCGGGCUUAACCUGGGAACUGCACUUGUGACUGCAAGGCUGGAGUACGGCAGAGGGGGAUGGAAUUCCGCGUGUAGCAGUGAAAUGCGUAGAUAUGCGGAGGAACACCGAUGGCGAAGGCAAUCCCCUGGGCCUGUACUGACGCUCAUGCACGAAAGCGUGGGGAGCAAACAGGAUUAGAUACCCUGGUAGUCCACGCCCUAAACGAUGUCAACUGGUUGUUGGACGGCUUGCUGUUUCUAGUAACGAAGCGUACGCGUGAGUUAGACCGCCGUGGGAGGUACGGCCGCGAGGUUAGAACGUACGAAAGGAAGUUAGACGGCGUGAGACGUGACCGACGGACGACGACGAGGGAGGAGG
rnacentral:rRNA from 1 species